UUUUUAUUUUCCUCUCUUACUAAAAUACAAACAAUCGCACCCUCGCCAGACAAAGAUAUUGUACCACACAAUCUUCUACCGAUUCAGACCCCAACGGAAAACUUUUCGGAAUUAAGACGAAACUUGAAGCACAAAGGCAAAGUGUUGCAAUUUGAAUGAUCCAAUCCCCAAUCACCGCACAAGAUCAGGUGUGGUGGAAGGAAAAGGGACAUAGGGGAAAUUGAAGUUGAAGACGGAAAAAAUGCGGAGUGAUGGAGAUAGAAAAGAGGACAAGGACAGGCUCAGUGACAUGCCUGACUUUGUCUUACUUCAUAUAAUGAAAUUUAUGAGCAUGAAACAGGCUGUUCAGACUUGUGUCCUGUCUUCAAGAUGGAAGGAACUUUGGAAACACCUAACUGAUUUGGCUUUGAAUUCCUCAGAUUUUACCAAUCUUACACAUUUCAGCAAAUUUGUGUCUUGGGUUAUUUCCAAUCGAGACAACUCUAUUUCACUGCAUAGUCUAGAUUUGAGGCGUAAAGGCUGCAUUGAUCAUGAACUUCUGGAUAGGAUUAUGGUGUAUGCUGUGUCUCAUGAUGUUCAGCAAUUGACAAUUGAAGUUAAUUUAAGUGUUAUACUUGGUUUUAGGUUGCACCCUAGUAUGUUUUCUUGUUCAUCUUUGACAUAUCUCAAGCUUUCCAUUUGGGCUGUACCUUGGAUGACCCAACUUCCAAGUUCCUUGCAGUUGCCAGCAUUGAAAAGCUUGCAUCUUGAGCAUGUCACUUUUACUGCAAGUGAAAGUGACUGUGCUGAGCCCUUUUCAUCUUGUCACAUGUUGGAUACUUUGGUUCUUGAUCGUUUUAACUUGCACCAAGGUGUGAAAUUCCUCUGUAUAUGUAAUUCCAACCUUUCUAGUUUGACCAUUGGUAGUACCAUUCAAGAAGCACCUUACAAAUUCGCGCUUUCCACUCCAAACCUUAGAUAUCUUAAUGUGAUGCGUGAUCCUCUUCACCAACUCUCUGCAUGCAGACUUUGUUAUCUCGAACAAGUAAGCAUUGACUGUGAAGCUUAUUUUCAUACUCAUUUUGAACGGACAUAUUCAGCCCUUAUAGGUCUGCUGCAAGUGCUUGCUGAUUAUGUAAAGAUAAUGAUACUCUCUUCAAGUACCCUUAAGAUUCUUUUACAUGGUCUCUCAACUUCUGGUUCAAUGAUUACUCAAAUUCCUUGUUUUGUUCAAUUGAAGUCGUUGAAAUUGAAAAUGAAAUCUUCGACAAACAUAUCUGAUGAGGGAGUUGGCAGGAUAGUAGAAUACUUACUUCAAAAAUCCCCAUUUGCUAAAGUGGAUAUUAUAAAUUGCUGAGUGAUAUCCAUGCACACUUAAAUCUUCAGCAUCGAAGUGCAUUACAUGGAACACCGUACUCUCACAUCAUUCACUUUUGGGAAGCAACAAGAUCAACUUUCAGAGUCCGUCUAAGGCUUGCAAUUAUCAAAGGAUUCUCCUUCCACCUAAGUUGGACUAGACUGAAUGUUGAGAAGGACUGACCCAAAACAAAGAUCGAAGCUAAGGAUCAAGAUUGAUUGGACUGAACCAAAGAUUGAGUCAAGUUGAAUCAGGCUACAACAUAAGUUUUAGAAAAUUUAAUUUAAUUUUUUUUAAGAAAAUGAAUUUUGUAUUCUAAACUUGAUCUUAAAUUUGGAUUUAGAUUUUUAAAAAAAUUCAAACUUAUUCUAUAACAAAAAUAAAUUUGGAUCUAAAAUUUGAUCUAAUUAUAUGGAUGGAUGUAUGAAUUUGCAUUAGAUUUUAAAAAAUCUAAUUCAUGUCCAUCGCUUUCAAUUUAAUACAUAUGUCUUACACGUGGAAAUUGAGAUGCAAUAACAAAAUAACAAGAACUAGAUAAACCGACCUACCAUAACCCUACAUUUUACUGUGUUUAUCUUUAACAUCAUCUUAUGCAUGGUAGGAUGCAAUUGCUAUGAGAGGGAAUUUUCUCUGACUGGUCAACCCAGCAGAUUCAGUAAUGUCCAAUGUCUGAUCCCCCACUACUCCACUAGGCACUUCCCAAUUAAAUUGAUGAACAAGGUUUGCUAUCACCAACUCAAUCACAUUCAUGGCAAACAUUAUUCCUGGACAACCCCUUCUUCCUGCUCCAAAUGGUAUCACUUCAAAAUCAUGUCUUUUCACAUCUAUUGAACUCUUUAAGAAUCUCUCUGCUUCAAACUCUUCAGCUUUCUCCCAAUGACAAGGAUCUCUUGCAAUUGCCCAAGCAUUAACUAUUAUCUGUGUUCCUGCUGCAAUCUCAUAGUUCAUCACUUUCGCAUCUUCCAUGGAUUCCCUUGGAAGCAACAAGGGAACUGGGGUAUGUAAUCGAAAACUUUCUUUAAUCACUGCUUUCAAAUAAUGCAUGCUACCUAUAUCUUCUUCAGUUAUGUGACUUCUACCACCAACCACAUCCCUUAUUUCAUCUUUUAGCUUCUGCAUCACACUUGGGUUCCUUAAGAGUUCUGUCAUUAUCCAUCCUAGGAUUGUUGAGCUAGUUUCAGUGCCUGCGACAAACAUGUCCUGAAACAAAUACCCAUCAACUGUCAAUUUCAUUCUCUACUUUCAAAUUCCAUGAAGGAAAAUAAACUCAACAUGUAUUAAGAUUUUGUUAGAAACUAUACAGUGGUUGUCUAUUGGAGAAACUCUUCAAUCUUACGUACCAGGAUUAUAGCCUUUAUGAUUGUUUUAUCAAUCUGGAACCCCAUGGAGUUUGUCUUUUGGAUCCUCAGCAAAAUGUCCACCAAAUCAUUCUGUUCUUCAUCAUCAUCAUCAUCACCAUGCACAUCAUGCCCUCUCCUAUUUACAUGCUCAUCAACAACUUCAUCAAAAAAUUCAUCAAGCUGUUUAGCCGCUUUCUUUGCCCUACCAUACAUUCCAUUAACUCUUCCCACCCAAUCAAGCCAAGUUAUAUAAUCCCCUAUAAACGGAGCACCCAACAGCUUCGUCAUCUCAUUCAUUGGCCCCCAGAACUUCCUCCCUUCUCUUCCACUGUAUCUCCUUCCGAGAGCAGCUCUACACACUAUGUCAUUUGUGACUGUACAAAAUAAUUCAGUUAAAUUCACAGGCAUCUCAGAACAACAACACUGCUUAACCUUCUCCAUCAUUAUGGAGAUCUCCUCUUCCCUCACUGCACCGAAGGAUUGAACCUUUUUUGCACUGAGAAGAUGCAACACACAAAUGCUCCUUAUCUGCCUCCAGUAUUUGCCGUAUGGAGCAGAGAUGCCAUGUCUUUGGAAUCGUACAAGAAGACAUCAAACAUCUUACGAUGUGGUCUAUUGGAGAAAACAAGGUCAUGGGUUUUCAUAACCUCACGAGCUGCCUCAGCCGUUGAGACCACAAGAACUGGCACCUUCCCAAAGUGAAGUAACAUCAAAGGGCCAUAGGUUUGAGCAAAGGAAUGGAGAGUGCGGUGAGUGAGAGUGCCAAGUUGGUGGAGAUUUCCUAUUAUUGGAAGCUUUGGAGGAGAUGGUGGUGAGGUUUUUCUGGCCAUUGAAGAACUGAAAUUAUGAUUACAUUUGGCUAAAAGAUUGAUGACAGUACGUAAAAAGAGGAUGAUUAAGGUAGCGAUUGGGAGGAAAAACCAGAUUGAAGAGUUUUCAUGCAGAGAAGUGGACAUUGUUCUUUAAUUUGCUGUGUAAUUAAUUAGCAAUGCAGAGAAUGAGGUAUUUAUAAGCGUUGGAAGUCAUCAUGCAUUAAUAAGAUACGUGUAUUUGUGAAAAA